UACGAAGGGGGCUAGCGUUGCUCGGAAUCACUGGGCGUAAAGGGUGCGUAGGCGGGUCUUUAAGUCAGGGGUGAAAUCCUGGAGCUCAACUCCAGAACUGCCUUUGAUACUGAAGAUCUUGAGUGCGGGAGAGGAGAGUGGAAUUCCUGGUGUAGCGGUGGAAUGCGCAGAUAUCAGGAAGAACACCCGUGGCGAAGGCGGCUCUCUGGAACGCAACUGACGCUGAGACGCGAAAGCGUGGGGAGCAAACAGG
rnacentral:rRNA from 1 species